CCUACGGGAGGCAGCAGUGGGGAAUAUUGGACAAUGGGCGAAAGCCUGAUCCAGCCAUGCCGCGUGUGUGAAGAAGGCCUUCGGGUUGUAAAGCACUUUCAGUGGGGAAGAAAGCCUUGGGGCUAAUACCCUCGAGGAAGGACAUCACCCACAGAAGAAGCACCGGCUAACUCCGUGCCAGCAGCCGCGGUAAUACGGAGGGUGCGAGCGUUAAUCGGAAUUACUGGGCGUAAAGCGCGCGUAGGCGGUCUGAUAAGCCGGUUGUGAAAGCCCCGGGCUCAACCUGGGAACGGCAUCCGGAACUGUCAGGCUAGAGUGCAGGAGAGGAAGGUAGAAUUCCCGGUGUAGCGGUGAAAUGCGUAGAGAUCGGGAGGAAUACCAGUGGCGAAGGCGGCCUUCUGGACUGACACUGACGCUGAGGUGCGAAAGCGUGGGUAGCAAACAGGACUAGAUACCCGGGUAGUC
rnacentral:rRNA from 1 species